AAUCAACGCUGGCGGCGCGCUUAACACAUGCAAGUCGCACGAGAAAGGGAGCAAUCCCUGAGUACAGUGGCGUACGGGUGAGUAACACGUGGGUAAUCUACCUCUUAGUGGGGGAUAUCUCUGGGAAACCGGAGUUAAUACCGCACAAGUUCGGAAGAAGAAAGCGAGCAACCCGCGCUGAGAGAGGAGCCCGCGGCCGAUUAGCUAGUUGGUGGGGUAAAGGCUCACCAAGGCAGAGAUCGGUAGCCGGCCUGAGAGGGCACACGGCCACACUGGCACUGAAACACGGGCCAGACUCCUACGGGAGGCAGCAGGUGGGGAAUCUUGCACAAUGGGGGAAACCCUGAUGCAGCGACGCCGCGUGAGCGAUGAAG
rnacentral:rRNA from 1 species